GGCGGAGUAGCUCAGUAGGUAGAGCGCCCCAUUGAACCUAUGGAGGUCGUGGGUUCGAAUCCCACCUCCGCCA
rnacentral:tRNA from 1 species